rnacentral:tRNA from 1 species
CUUAGGGUAUAGCUCAAUGGCAGAGUGCUUACCUAAUACGUGGGAGGCCCAAGGUUCCAUCCCUAGCACUAAAA